GCCAGGCGUGGUGGCGCACACCUGUAAUCCAAGUGGCUCAGGAGGCUGAGGCAGGAGAAUCACAAGUUCAAAGCCAGCCUCAGCAAAAACGAGGCUAAGCAACUCAGUGAGACCCUGUCUCUA
rnacentral:sRNA from 1 species